rnacentral:rRNA from 1 species
AACGUAGGUUCCGAGCGUUAUCCAUUUACUUGGCGUAAAGCGCGUUCAGGCGGUUUGGCAAGUCGGGCAUGAAAUCUCUCGGCUCAACCGGGAGAGGUUGUCCGAUACUGCUGGACUUGAGGGCAGUAGAGGGUGGUGGAAUUCCGGGUGUAGUGGUGAAAUGCGUAGAUAUCCGGAGGAACACCAGUGGCGAAAGCGCUCUGCUAGGCCGUAACUGACACUGAGGCGCGAAAGCCAGGGGAGCAAACGGG